rnacentral:lncRNA from 1 species
CUCUGGAGCCCAUGGUCCUGGGGGUCAAGAUUCUGGAGCCCGCAUUCUUCUGACGGGGAUCCAAGGAGGUUCUGUCUGGUUCCAUGUGAACCAGUGGCCUGGAAAAGAUCUAGGAGCCAAGCUGGAGGAGACCACGUGGGGCUUUGCCUCUGAGUCAGAGUACACAGUGAUGCUGAGAGUCCAGAGAGGGACAAGUGCUCCAUUCUGCUCCAACCUCAUGGACAGGUACAAAGCAAGGGUCCAAGUGCCAAAUGUGACAUCCCUGAAGAUUGAGAACCGGACUCCACAGGACAGUGGGAGAUACAAGGCAUGCUCCUGGUUAACUGAUGCAACAGAAGUUCUCCAAAUUUCCCACCUCAAGGUCUAUCAGCCUGUGUCCCCUCCACUGAUCCUAGUCAAGGCUUUGUCCAUUACACCAGGCUGGUGCAAUGUCACCCUGGACUGCAGGGCCACAGGGGCCACAGAGGACCUGAAUGUGACCUGGGAGAGCAAGGGCCUCCCCAGGGAGCUGGAGCUGAGAGGGACAUGAACACCAGGCCCCAACUCCUGGACCCAGGGUGUGAACAUGCCCCUGAGCGUGGCCAACACCUGCCUCACCUGUGUAGUCAGCAAUUCCAUGGACCAUAACAAUGCCACCUCAGGCCUUGGUGACAUCUGUUCACAAGGUGAGUGCUGAGCAGGGUGUGGUGGCGCACAUCUGUAAUCCCAGCACUCAGGAGGCGGACACAGGAAGAUUGUUUUGAUUUCAAGACCAGCCUGGGCUACAAAGUGAGCUCAAGGCCAGCCUAAACUGCAUAGCAAGACCCUGUCUCAAAAGACAAAAAAAAAAAAAAACACAAGAUGAGUGCCAGCUGCUGGCGGUUAGGCUGUCAGGGAGCUCAGGGAG